AGAAUCAACGCUGGCGGCGUGCCUCAGACAUGCAAGUCGAACGAUUAAAGCUCUCUUCGGAGAGUGUAUAGAGUGGCGCACGGGUGAGUAACACGUAAGUAAUCUACCCUCGAGUGGGGAAUAACGUCCGGAAACGGACGCUAAUACCGCAUAAUGCAGCGGCACCGCAAGGUGACAGUUGUUAAAGAUUUAUCGCUUGAGGAGAGCUUGCGGCAGAUUAGCUAGUUGGUAAGGUAAUGGCUUACCAAGGCUACGAUCUGUAACCGGUCUAAGAGGACGGUCGGUCACACUGACACUGAAUAACGGGUCAGACUCCUACGGGAGGCAGCAGGUCGGGAAUUUUGGGCAAGUGGGCGAAAGCCUGACCCAGCAACGCGCGUGAAGGAUGAAGUAUUCGGUAAUGUAAACUUCGAAAGAAUAGGAAGAUACAAUGACGGUACCAUUUACGUAAGGUCCGGCUAAC
rnacentral:rRNA from 1 species